GGGGAAUAUUGCACAAUGGGCGCAAGCCUGAUGCAGCGACGCCGCGUGGGGGAUGACGGCCUUCGGGUUGUAAACUCCUUUCGCCAGGGACGAAGCGUUUUGUGACGGUACCUGGAGAAGAAGCACCGGCUAACUACGUGCCAGCAGCCGCGGUAAUACGUAGGGUGCAAGCGUUGUCCGGAAUUACUGGGCGUAAAGAGCUCGUAGGUGGUUUGUCACGUCGUCUGUGAAAUUCCACAGCUUAACUGUGGGCGUGCAGGCGAUACGGGCUGACUUGAGUACUGUAGGGGUAACUGGAAUUCCUGGUGUAGCGGUGAAAUGCGCAGAUAUCAGGAGGAACACCGAUGGCGAAGGCAGGUUACUGGGCAGUUACUGACGCUGAGGAGCGAAAGCAUGGGUAGCAAACAGGAUUAGAUACCCUGGUAGUCCAUGCCGUAAACGGUGGGCGCUAGGUGUAGGGACCUUUUGGGGUUUCUGUGCCGUAGCUAACGCAUUAAGCGCCCCGCCUGGGGAGUACGGCCGCAAGGCUA
rnacentral:rRNA from 1 species